rnacentral:rRNA from 1 species
UACGGGGGGGGCAAGCGUUGUUCGGAUUCAUUGGGCGUAAAGGGUGCGUAGGCGGCGCGGUAAGUCGGGUGUGAAAUCUCGGAGCUUAACUCCGAAACUGCAUUCGAUACUGCCGUGCUUGAGGACUGGAGAGGAGACUGGAAUUCCUGGUGUAGCGGUGAAAUGCGCAGAUAUCAGGAAGAACACCAAUGGCGAAGGCAGCUCUCUGGGACGGUACUGACGCUGAGACGCGAAAGCGUGGGGAGCGAACAGG